GACGAACGCUGGCGGCGUGCUUAACACAUGCAAGUCGAACGGAAAGGCCCUGCUUUUGUGGGGUGCUCGAGUGGCGAACGGGUGAGUAACACGUGAGUAACCUGCCCUUGACUUUGGGAUAACUUCAGGAAACUGGGGCUAAUACCGGAUAGGAGCUCCUGCUGCAUGGUGGGGGUUGGAAAGUUUCGGCGGUUGGGGAUGGACUCGCGGCUUAUCAGCUUGUUGGUGGGGUAGUGGCUUACCAAGGCUUUGACGGGUAGCCGGCCUGAGAGUGUGACCGGCCACAUUGGGACUGGGAUACCGCCCAGACUCCUACGGGAGGCAGCAGUGGGGAAUAUUGCACAAUGGGCGGAAGCCUGAUGCAGCAACGCCGCGUGCGGGAUGACGGCCUUCGGGUUGUAAACCGCUUUCGCCUGUGACGAAGCGUGAGUGACGGUAAUGGGUAAAGAAGCACCGGCUAACUACGUG
rnacentral:rRNA from 1 species